rnacentral:piRNA from 1 species
UACUCGGUAGAUAGUAUCCUAGGGUGUGC